UUGUAGGAAAUGACAGGUGAUGACGUUAAUUUAUGAAUAAGCCCCGGCUAAUUACGUGCCAGCAGCCGCGGUAAUACGUAAGGGGCGAGCGUUGUUCGGGAUUAUUGGGCGUAAAGGGUGAGUAGGCGGAUAUGCAAGUCUAUGCGUAAAAUACCACAGCUCAACUGUGGAGCUAUGCUAGAAACUGCAUGACUAGAGUCUGAUAGGGGAAGUUAGAAUUCCUGGUGUAAGGGUGGAAUCUGUUGAUAUCAGGAAGAAUACCAGAGGCGAAGGCGAACUUCUAGGUCAAGACUGACGCUGAGUCACGAAAGCGUAGGGAGCAAACAGGAUUAGAUACCCUGGUAGUCUACGCUGUAAACGAUGCACACUUGGUGUUAAUUGAGAGAUUAGUACCGAAGCUAACGUGUUAAGUGUGCCGCCUGGGGAGUAUGCUCGCAAGAGUGAAACUCAAACGGAACUUGACGGGGGCCCGCACAAGCGGUGGAGCAUGUGGUUUAAUUCGAUGAUACGCGAGGAAACCUUUACCAGGGCUUGACAUAUACAGGAU
rnacentral:rRNA from 1 species